CAGUCCAAAGUACAGGAAAUCAGCUAGUACAUUAUACACUGUGUGAGCGGCUCCGUGAAAGCAAGAACAUUGCAGAUCCAGAUAGUAAAACCUGCUGCCAACAGCAAUGAAGACAGGCUGUGAGCAAUUUAAUUGAAUUAUCUGGAAGGGAGACCGCCCACCAUGCGUCCAGUUUCCAGAAUGAAUAAAUCAGAUAGAGGUCAUAGUAGAGACGCCACCUGAUAAAACCUACCUCUGAGGCUCAGCCUGGGGAACUCAAGAGAACUAAUGUCAGCUAUUGGACCUCUGGCAUGCUCCAUAAACUCUGAGCCUCAGCCUUAGUCUUCCCAUCUGUGGAAUAGGAGUGACAAUGACAUCUACCUGACCAGGUUGAUAGGCACACAAACUGAGAAUCAUUGCAAAGCGUGGAACGCAGUGCCCUGCACAUCACAAGAGCCCUCAAUUAAUUUCAGCAUUUGUUUUGGACUGAGGCUAGAGGCCCACGGCUAUAUAAAAUGAGUCCUUUGUUAAGAUGGAAAAAAGCAGUUGAAAAAUCACAUGUUCAAGGCUGGCUUGCCCAACGACUGUUCAAAAAUAAUGAAGAAGCAGUUUGCCUAGCAUUUUGGCCCGUUGAAGUUUGGAGAAGAAGUUUGAGAGCGUGAGUCUGCAUAUCAUUAUACCAACAACACAGAGACAAGAGAGAGAGCCAGCACGCGAGAGCAAGGGAGAGGGGCAGAAGGAGAGUCGGAGAGAAUCUUAAGCAGACUCCACGCUCAGCACGGAGCCCGACGCAGGGCUCAAUCCCACGAGCCUGGUAUCAUGACCCGAACCGAAAUCAAGGGUCAGACAUUCAACCAACUGAGCCACCCAGGCGCCCCAGUUGUUAUUAUUUUUUUUUAAGUAAUCUCUGCACCCAGCGUGGGUCUCCAGCUUACAACUCUGAGAUCAAGAGUCCGAUGUUCUACCUACUGGGACAGUUCAGGUGCCCUGGGUUUGAUUUUAUAAGGAAGUAUCACAGUGUUUUCCGGAAUGGCUGCACAGUUUUGCAUUCCGACUUGCAACGUAGAAGACGUUUGUUGAUGUAAGUCCCUCACCAGGGUUUGGUAUCGCUGGUAUCUAUAUCUAUAUCUAUAUCUAUAUCUAUAUCUAUAUCUAUACCUUUAUCUUUAGCCAUUCUAAUAUGUUUGUAAUGAUAGCUCACUGUGAUUUUAAUUUGCAUUGCCCUAAUGGCUCAGGAUACCAAGUAUCUUUCCAUGUACUUAUUGGCUUCUUUACUUAGGUGAAGUGUCUUUUCAAGUCUUUGCCCAUUUUAAAAUUGGGUUAUAUGGGUUUUUUUUUUUUUAAGUUUUGUUUAUUUAUUUAUUUAGAAAAAUUUUUGAUGUUUAUUUAUUUUAGAGACAGACAGAGCACAAGCUGGGGAGGGGCAGAGAGAGCCAGAGGCAGAAUCUGAAGCAGGCUGCAGGCUCUGAGCUAUCAGCACAGAGCCUGAUGUGGGGCUCGAAACCAUGAACUGUACAGAUCAUGACCUGAGCCGAAGUUGGACACCCCAC